UACGGGGGGGGUAAGCGUUGUUCGGAAUUACUGGGCGUAAAGGGCUCGUAGGCGGCCAACUAAGUCAGACGUGAAAUCCCUCAGCUUAACUGGGGAACUGCGUCUGAUACUGGAUGGCUUGGAUCCGGGAGAGGGAUGCGGAAUUCCAGGUGUAGCGGUGAAAUGCGUAGAUAUCUGGAGGAACACCGGUGGCGAAGGCGGCAUUC
rnacentral:rRNA from 1 species